GAUGAACGCUAGCUACAGGCUUAACACAUGCAAGUCGAGGGGUAACGAGAGGGAAGCUUGCUUUCCUUGUCGACGACCGGCGCACGGGUGAGUAACGCGUAUCCAACCUGCCCCCAACUAGGGAAUAACCUUGCGAAAGUAAGACUAAUACCCUAUAAUUUCCUCAGAUGUCAUCUGACGAGGAAUAAAGAUUUAUCGGUUGUGGAUGGGGAUGCGUCUGAUUAGCUUGUUGGCGGGGUAACGGCCCACCAAGGCAACGAUCAGUAGGGGUUCUGAGAGGAAGGUCCACCACAUUGGAACUGAGGCACGGUCCAAACUCCUACGGGAGGCAGCAGUGAGGAAUAUUGGUCAAUGGGCGGAAGCCUGAACCAGCCAAGUAGCGUGCAGGAUGACGGCCCUAUGGGUUGUAAACUGCUUUUAUACAGGAAUAAAGUUAGCCACGUGUGGUUAUUUGUAGGUACUGUAUGAAUAAGGACCGGCUAAUUCCGUGCCAGCCGCCGCAGUAA
rnacentral:rRNA from 1 species